rnacentral:rRNA from 1 species
AUUGAACGCUGGCGGCAGGCUUAACACAUGCAAGUCGAGCGGGCGAGGUUGCUUCGGUAACUGAGCUAGCGGCGGACGGGUGAGUAAAGCUUAGGAAUCUGCCUAUUAGUGGGGGACAACAUUUCGAAAGGGAUGCUAAUACCGCAUACGUCCUACGGGAGAAAGCGGGGGACCUUCGGGCCUUGCGCUAAUAGAUGAGCCUAAGUCGGAUUAGCUAGUUGGUGGGGUAAAGGCCUACCAGGGCGACGAUCUGUAGCGGGUCUGAGAGGAUGAUCCGCCACACUGGGACUGAGACACGGCCCAGACUCCUACGGGAGGCAGCAGUGGGGAAUAUUGGACAAUGGGGGGAACCCUGAUCCAGCCAUGCCGCGUGUGUGAAGAAGGCCUUUUGGUUGUAAAGCACUUUAAGUGGGGAGGAGGCUCUCUUGGUUAAUACCUAAGAAGAGUGGACGUUACCCACAGAAUAAGCACCGGCUAACUCUGUGCCAGCCGCCGCAGUAAAAC